rnacentral:lncRNA from 10 species
AUACAUACACUUAAAAUUAUGGCAAGCUCACGCAGGCGCACUAAGAGAGAAAAAACAAGAAAACAGAUAUGACAAUUAUAGGAAAUCCCCUCCCUAGAGUUAAAGAAGUGUAGGAAGUGGGUAUAAAAGAACAAAGGCUAUAUUAAUCCAGGGCUGACACCACUUGAAGAUAAGCCCGUUCCUCUCUCUGGUAUAUUCUUUGCUUAAUAAAUCUUGUGGGGUGGUUAUUUGUGUGUCUCAUCCAAUUCUUUGUUCAUAACACCAAGAACCUGGAACUCCCAACUUCCAAUCUGGUAACAUAUUUUGGUGAGCCAGCCAGGAGGGUCAAGCCUGCAAUACCUAAAGCUCCAGACCUGGAACCCAAAGCUCCCAUCAGUCGCUACCCUGUGAACCUGUGGAGGAUCUGAAGUACCUGUUUAAAAGGCAUCCAAAAGAUAGAAUCUAUCAAGCUACAAAUGGCUAUGUUGCCUGAAGCCCCAGACAUCAUCCUACAAGAAAUAAGUCCAGACUUCUUAAUUUCCCCCUGGAUAGAGCAGGGUGAUACUGUGGCCUGGGUGAAGACAUCGUAUCCUCUGUGUGUAACAGUGAUAAGAAGGCUUACCUCGCAGGGUUAUUACAAGACAAAUGAAAUAACUUUGGCACACUAUUAAAGGCUUCGUGGAUAAUUAAAGCUUCACAAAAACCUUGAUGAGAUUCCCUCUAUCCUCAGAAAAUGUAUGUGUGUGUGAC